rnacentral:rRNA from 1 species
GACGAACGCUGGCGGCGUGCUUAACACAUGCAAGUCGAGCGGAGCGGCGAACGGGUGAGUAACUCGUGAGUAACUGCCCCCCUCUCUGGGAUAACAGUUGGCAACGGCUGCUAAUACCGGAUAGUGGGGGAUGGCUCGCGUCCUAUCGGCUUGUUGGUGGGGUAGUGGCCUACCAAGGCGACGACAGGUUGCCGGCCUGGGAGGGCGACCGGCCACAAGGGGCUGAGAUACGGCGCAAACGCCUACGGGAGGCAGCAGUGGGGAAGAUGGCACAAUGGGGGAAAGCCUGAUGCAGCAACGCCGCGGGCGGGAUGACGGCCUUGGGGGUGUAAACCGCGUGAAGCCAUGACGCGGUAGUGGCAGAAGAAGCACCGGCUAACUACGUGCCAGCCGCCGCGGUAAUUC